GGGCUGGGCCGCGCCAGGGUCGGAUUUCCUCAGCGCCGUCUCUGAGUCCUAGCGAGGCUUCACCUACUGGGAUGUGUCGAACAGCAGAAGAAUCUGUGGAAACUGAUGUCUGAAUCCAGCCCUCUCUUCCUACAGCCUAAAUAUCAACUGCUGUUGUUUAUCCUGCUCCCUUGAUCUGGAAAAACAAGUUGUCAUGUUAUGAACAGAUCUGUGGAGAAGCCUGUGUGGUGAGGAACUGUGUCUCCAGCUAGCAAGUAAUGAGAACUGGACCCGACAGAACACACCACUGUGAGAUUUGCAGCCUAGACUUUACUAGUCAAGCCUUGAAAGAACUGUGGCUCUGUGACAGUUAAUUUCAUGUGUCAACUUGACUGGGCCAUGUCAUUGCC